AGUGAACGCUGGCGGUAGGCCUAACACAUGCAAGUCGAACGGCAGCACAGUAAGAGCUUGCUCUUACGGGUGGCGAGUGGCGGACGGGUGAGGAAUACAUCGGAAUCUACUUUUUUGUGGGGGAUAACGUAGGGAAACUUACGCUAAUACCGCAUACGACCUACGGGCGAAAGCAGGGGAUCUUCGGACCUUGCGCGAUUGAAUGAGCCGAUGUCGGAUUAGCUAGUUGGCGGGGUAAAGGCCCACCAAGGCGACGAUCCGUAGCUGGUCUGAGAGGAUGAUCAGCCACACUGGAACUGAGACACGGUCCAGACUCCUACGGGAGGCAGCAGUGGGGAAUAUUGGACAAUGGGCGCAAGCCUGAUCCAGCCAUACCGCGUGGGUGAAGAAGGCCUUCGGGUUGUAAAGCCCUUUUGUUGGGAAAGAAAAGCAGCAGGUUAAUACCCCGCUGUUCUGACGGUACCCAAAGAAUAAGCACCGGCUAACUUCGUG
rnacentral:rRNA from 1 species